GUAUCAACUUUUAUUUUGUUGAUUUAGAAUUGUAAAGUUGAAAAUAUAUCAUGUAUUUUGGAGAAUGACAAAAAUGUAAAGAAUUAUGGUUGAAUGGAAAAAAAAUGUAAUAGUUGUAGUUUACUUGUAUUUGGUUAAAAUGUAAUCAAAUAUCAUGUAUGGUUGUAUGUUUAGCCUAGAGCUUUCGCUUCCGUUGUUGCUUGUCCUCGUGCAAGGCUUGUAUAAUUGCAAAAUCUCUUUGUUGUUUGUUUAAUUAUACAUGUUGUUUGAGCCUUGGGCGGACAGAGGAGAUACUGUCCGUUCGGCGUCUGUUGAUGUGACUCGAACCCGACCAAAUUGGCGGGGAUUGGGGCGUGACAAUACUAUUAUGAUACGAUCGCCCUCGUAAAGUUGUUUUUGAUGAUAGAGCUUCCGAAUCGACGAUCCACACCGUUAAACGUUAUUUACAGCAUUUAAAACUUCUAGAAAUCAAAUUUUAUAAUAUUUCGACAUCAUUUACCUUACGAUCAAGAGGUCACAAAUUGACAAUUUUUAAUGGCCGGUAUGGGAUACUUGCUAGUUUAACAGUGUAAAAGAAUCGGAAUUUGUUGAAUUUUUGAUAGAAAAAUCUAUUCACUACAUAGAUAAAGAUCAAUAACUCUGAUCUUGAAUUGAAGGAUCCGAUCAUCCUUUUUGAGAUCGUCGUUCGAUUUUGACCAUUCAUUUUAUGCCCACUUGAUGGACUUUAUUAUGAUUUUGAAAAUUUACAAAAUUUAUUUUCUAGAAGUUUCAAAUACUCUAGAUCAUAUUUAACGGAGUGGAUCGUCGA
rnacentral:lncRNA from 1 species